CGCCCAACAGCUAGCCCCUCAAACCAAAAACAACAAACCACUAUUAAUAACCCCUAAUACACCCAAAACUACUAAACCAAACCAUUUUUCCACCCUAGUAUAGGAGAUAGAAAAGGAACCCGGCGCUAUAGAGAAAGUACCGCAAGGGAACGCUGAAAGAGAAAUGAAACAACCCAGUUAAGCCUAACAAAGCAGAGACUACCCCUCGUACCUUUUGCAUCAUGAUUUAGCCAGUAACCCCCAAGCAAAGAGUACUUUAGUUUGAUCCCCCGAAACUAAGUGAGCUACUCCAAGCCAGCCUAAUUAAUAGGGCACACCCGUCUCUGUGGCAAAAGAGUGGGAAGAGCUUCGAGUAGAGGUGACAGACCUACCGAACUUAGUUAUAGCUGGUUGCCUGAGAAUUGAAUAGAAGUUCAGCCUCCCGGCUUCUCCCUUCACCAUCCGUAUAAACCCCCAUAUGAUGCUAAAGAAACCGAGAGAGUUAAUCAAAGGGGGUACAGCCCCUUUGAUAUAAGAUACAACUUUUACAGGAGGAUAAAGAUCAUACUAAACCUAAUGGUAGAAUGUUCUAGUGGGCCUAAAAGCAGCCACCUCUAUAGAAAGCGUUAAAGCUCAGACAUAAGCCUACCCCUUUUGAUCCCGAUAACCCAAUCUUAAUCCCCUAGUUUUACCAGGCCAUCCCAUAGCGAACAUGGGAACAACAAUGCUAAUAUGAGUAAUAAGAGAGCACCCGCCUCUCUUCCCGCACAAGUGUAUGUCGGAACGGACCCCCCACCGAACCUUAACGGCCCCAAACAAAGAGGGUAAUGAAUAAUAGACCAAACAACUAGAAAAGCAUACAACAACCAACCGUUAGCCCCACACUGGUGUGCCUUUAGGAAAAGACUAAAAGAAAGAGAAGGAACUCGGCAAACACAUUAAGCCUCGCCUGUUUACCAAAAACAUCGCCUCUUGCAUAAACCAAUGAAUAAGAGGUCCCGCCUGCCCUGUGACUAUAAGUUUAACGGCCGCGGUAUUUUGACCGUGCAAAGGUAGCGCAAUCACUUGUCUCUUAAAUGGAGACCUGUAUGAAUGGCACAACGAGGGCUUAGCUGUCUCCUCAUUCAAGUCAAUGAAAUUGAUCUCCCCGUGCAGAAGCGGGGAUAAGACCAUAAGACGAGAAGACCCUAUGGAGCUUUAGACACCAGAGUAGAUCAUGUUAAAUAACCCUUAAUUAAAGGACUGAACCAAAUGCCUACUACCCCAAUGUCUUUGGUUGGGGCGACCGCGGGGAAACACAUAACCCCCACGUGGAAUGGGAACACCCCCCUCCUACAACCGAGAGUUUCCACUCUAAUAUACAGAAUAUCUGACCAAUAUGAUCCGGCAGCGCCGAUCAACGAACCGAGUUACCCUAGGGAUAACAGCGCAAUCCCCUUUUAGAGCCCAUAUCGACAAGGGGGUUUACGACCUCGAUGUUGGAUCAGGACAUCCUAAUGGUGCAGCCGCUAUUAAGGGUUCGUUUGUUCAACGAUUAAAGUCCUACGUGAUCUGAGUUCAGACCGGAGUAAUCCAGGUCAGUUUCUAUCUAUGAUAUGAUCUUUUCUAGUACGAAAGGACCGAAAAGAAGAGGCCUCUGCUUAAGGCACGCCUCACCCCCACCUUAUGAAGACAACUAAAAUAGGCAAAAGGGCAUGCCCCCUUAUGCCAAAGAAAAUGGCAU
rnacentral:rRNA from 1 species